CCGUAGUACGCGGAGGGACAUU
rnacentral:rRNA from 1 species